GACGAACGCUGGCGGCGUGCUUAACACAUGCAAGUCGAACGGAAAGGCCCUGCUUUUGUGGGGUGCUCGAGUGGCGAACGGGUGAGUAACACGUGAGUAACCUGCCCUUGACUUUGGGAUAACUUCAGGAAACUGGGGCUAAUACCGGAUAGGAGCUCCUGCUGCAUGGUGGGGGUUGGAAAGUUUCGGCGGUUGGGGAUGGACUCGCGGCUUAUCAGCUUGUUGGUGGGGUAGUGGCUUACCAAGGCUUUGACGGGUAGCCGGCCUGAGAGGGUGACCGGCCACAUUGGGACUGAGAUACGGCCCAGACUCCUACGGGAGGCAGCAGUGGGGAAUAUUGCACAAUGGGCGGAAGCCUGAUGCAGCAACGCCGCGUGCGGGAUGACGGCCUUCGGGUUGUAAACCGCUUUCGCCUGUGACGAAGCGUGAGUGACGGUAAUGGGUAAAGAAGCACCGGCUAACUACGUGCCAGCAGCCGCGGUGAUACGUAGGGUGCGAGCGUUGUCCGGAUUUAUUGGGCGUAAAGGGCUCGUAGGUGGUUGAUCGCGUCGGAAGUGUAAUCUUGGGGCUUAACCCUGAGCGUGCUUUCGAUACGGGUUGACUUGAGGAAGGUAGGGGAGAAUGGAAUUCCUGGUGGAGCGGUGGAAUGCGCAGAUAUCAGGAGGAACACCAGUGGCGAAGGCGGUUCUCUGGGCCUUUCCUGACGCUGAGGAGCGAAAGCGUGGGGAGCGAACAGGCUUAGAUACCCUGGUAGUCCACGCUGUAAACGGUGGGUACUAGGUGUGGGGUCCAUUCCACGGGUUCCGUGCCGUAGCUAACGCUUUAAGUACCCCGCCUGGGGAGUACGGCCGCAAGGCUAAAACUCAAAGGAAUUGACGGGGCCCCGCACAAGCGGCGGAGCAUGCGGAUUAAUUCGAUGCAACGCGUAGAACCUUACCUGGGUUUGACAUGGAUCGGGAGCGCUCAGAGAUGGGUGUGCCUCUUUUGGGGUCGGUUCACAGGUGGUGCAUGGCUGUCGUCAGCUCGUGUCGUGAGAUGUUGGGUUAAGUCCCGCAACGAGCGCAACCCUUGUUCACUGUUGCCAGCACGUUAUGGUGGGGACUCAGUGGAGACCGCCGGGGUCAACUCGGAGGAAGGUGGGGAUGACGUCAAGUCAUCAUGCCCCUUAUGUCCAGGGCUUCACGCAUGCUACAAUGGCUGGUACAGAGAGUGGCGAGCCUGUGAGGGUGAGCGAAUCUCGGAAAGCCGGUCUCAGUUCGGAUUGGGGUCUGCAACUCGACCUCAUGAAGUCGGAGUCGCUAGUAAUCGCAGAUCAGCAACGCUGCGGUGAAUAAAUUCCCGGG
rnacentral:rRNA from 1 species